UACGAAGGGAGCAAGCGUUGCUCGGAUUUAUUGGGCGUAAAGGGUGUGUAGGCGGUUUGAUAAGUUAGAUGUGAAAGCCCAGGGCUUAACCCUGGAAUUGCAUUUAAGACUGUUGAACUUGAAGAUCGAAGAGGUAAGCAGAAUUCCCAGUGUAGAGGUGAAAUUCGUAGAUAUUGGGAAGAAUACCAAUGGCGUAGGCA
rnacentral:rRNA from 1 species